rnacentral:rRNA from 1 species
UACGUAGGGGGCUAGCGUUAUCCGGAAUCAUUGGGCGUAAAGCGCGUGUAGGCGGUUCGGUAAGUCCGCUGUGAAAGUCGGGGGCUCAACCCUCGGAUGCCGGUGGAUACUGUCGGACUAGAGUGCGGAAGAGGCGAGUGGAAUUCCUGGUGUAGCGGUGAAAUGCGCAGAUAUCAGGAGGAACACCGAUUGCGAAGGCAGCUCGCUGGGACGUUACUGACGCUGAGACGCGAAAGCGUGGGGAGCAAACAGG